rnacentral:rRNA from 1 species
GAUCCUGGCUCAGGAUGAACGCUAGCGACAGGCUUAACACAUGCAAGUCGAGGGGCAGCACAGGUAGCAAUACCGGGUGGCGACCGGCACACGGGUGAGUAACGCGUAUGCAACUUACCUAUCAGAGGGGGAUAACCUGGCGAAAGUCGGACUAAUACCGCAUGAAGCAGGGGCCCCGCAUGGGGAUAUUUGCUAAAGAUUUAUCGCUGAUAGAUAGGCAUGCGUUCCAUUAGG